AUUGAACGCUGGCGGCAGGCUUAACACAUGCAAGUCGAGCGGGGGAAGGUAGCUUGCUACCGGACCUAGCGGCGGACGGGUGAGUAAUGCUUAGGAAUCUGCCUAUUAGUGGGGGACAACAUCUCGAAAGGGAUGCUAAUACCGCAUACGUCCUACGGGAGAAAGCAGGGGCUCUUCGGACCUUGCGCGAAUAGAUGAGCCUAAGUCGGAUUAGCUAGUUGGUGGGGUAAAGGCCUACCAAGGCGACGAUCUGUAGCGGGUCUGAGAGGAUGAUCCGCCACACUGGGACUGAGACACGGCCCAGACUACGACGGGAGGCAGCAGUGGGGAAUAUUGGACAAUGGGGGGAACCCUGAUCCAGCCAUGCCGCGUGUGUGAAGAAGGCCUUAUGGUUGUAAAGCACUUUAAGCGAGGAGGAGGCUACUCUAGUUAAUACCUAGGGAUAGUGGACGUUACUCGCAGAAUAAGCACCGGCUAACUCUGUGCCAGCCGCCGCCGUAA
rnacentral:rRNA from 1 species